rnacentral:rRNA from 1 species
UACGAAGGGGGCUAGCGUUGCUCGGAAUUACUGGGCGUAAAGGGAGCGUAGGCGGACAGUUUAGUCAGAGGUGAAAGCCCAGGGCUCAACCCUGGAAUUGCCUUUGAUACUGAUUGUCUUGAGUAUGGGAGAGGUGUGUGGAACUCCGAGUGUAGAGGUGAAAUUCGUAGAUAUUCGGAAGAACACCAGUGGCGAAGGCGACACCCUGGACUCAUACUGACACUGAGGUGCGAAAGCGUGGGGAGCAAACAGG